rnacentral:rRNA from 1 species
AACUAUAACGGUCCUAAGGUAGCGAAAUUCCUUGUCAGGUAAGUUCUGACCCGCACGAAAGGUGUAACGAUUUGAGCACUGUCUCGACAACACGCCCGGUGAAAUUGAAGAACCAGUGAAGAUACUGGUUACCCGCAACAGGACGGAAAGACCCCAUGGAGCUUUACUGCAGCUUAAUAUUGGGAUUCGGUAUUGUAUGUACAGGAUAGGAGGGAGACUAAGAAGCUAGCACGCCAGUGUUGGUGGAGUCGAUGGUGGGAUACCUCUCUUAUAAUACUGAAUUUCUAACCUACUUCCGUGAUCCGGAAGAGGGACAUUGUUAGGCGGGCAGUUUGACUGGGGCGGUCGCCUCCGAAAGAGUAACGGAGGCGCUCAAAGGUCUUCUCAGAAUGAUUGGAAACCAUUCAAAGAGUGUAAAGGCAAAAGAAGGCUUGACUGCGAGAGUGACAACUCGAGCAGGUACGAAAGUAGGACUUAGUGAUCCGGUGGUAACAAGUGGGAGUGCCAUCGCUUAACGGAUAAAAGCUACCCUGGGGAUAACAGGCUUAUCUCCCCCAAGAGUUCACAUCGACGGGGAGGUUUGGCACCUCGAUGUCGGCUCAUCGCAUCCUGGGGCUGUAGUAGGUCCCAAGGGUUGGGCUGUUCGCCCAUUAAAGCGGUACGCGAGCUGGGUUCAGAACGUCGUGAGACAGUUCGGUCCCUAUCCGUUGUGGGCGUAGGAAAUUUGAUAGGAGCUGUCCUUAGUACGAGAGGACCGGGAUGGACGAACCUCUGGUGAAUCUGUUGGUAACCAAUGCCACAGCAGAAUAGCCAAGUUUGGAACGGAUAAACGCUGAAGGCAUCUAAGCGUGAAGCCAACCUAAAGACUAGAUUUCCCAUGCGAAAGCAGUAAGACUCCUUGUAGACGACAAGGUUGAUAGGCCAGAGAUGUAAGCACAGUAAUGUGUUCAGUUGACUGGUACUAAUAAGUCGAGGGCUUGACCAA